GCUUGGCCAUACUGACAGAGAUCAAUUUGUGUUCGCUGCUCCUCACCCAACACCCGCUAUAGUAUUCCCUCAUGUAGCAGCGACAUGGUGGCUAGAACAGUGAAGAUUCAAUAGCUCAGACGAAACAUCAGUCGAGAGAGAGAUGUGAAAAAAAACGGUAAGAGUGAUGGACAUUGCCAACAGCAGUACCGUUCACAUAUUACCAAGCGAUCCAGAUCGGAAGCACAGAAAGCACGCUGGGAGAACAACUCACAGUGAUGGCUAUCACGGACAACAAAACAAUACACGGAUCUCGCUCAACUGCUCAGAAAGCACGCCAAAGUAGGAUAGCACAACAGCGCCAGGAGGAGAAGGAUGAGAACUAGAUGAUUACAGAAUAUUCAAGGAGAAGAUGAUAUAGUAAGAUGAUGCAUAAAGAAGAGAAAGUUGAGAAGUCAUUCGCACAUUGCCACCCAAGUUUCCCGGGGAAGGAUGGAAAAGGCAAAGCAAGGGAGAUCACAAAUUGAAGAAUGCAUUAGGAAACUUCAUUGAGAUGGUCAGGUACCUGAAAAGUUUCAAGGUGUGGGGAACUUCUACGGUAACUUAGUCCUCUUUUUGUGGGUUCAUACUUGGUUUAGCUAUCAUCUAGGAAUUUGUGCUUUGGGGAGGGGAAUCAUGUUAUGGGACUGUUUUUGGUGCCUAAGAGCAACCACAAUCACGACCAAAUUUGGAGACUAUAACCAAAUUUGGUCCGAAAGUGAAGCACAAUGGGAUGGACUAAAGCUAAAUUUGGUAUGGUUUUCUAGGGUUUGAGACUAAAUGUAGUCGCCGAUCAGACUAUAACUGAAUUUAAUGGGGCGUAGGUAUAAUGAGCGUUGUAGGUUAGGCGUGAAUAUAAUGAGCGUAUAAGAUUGGGCGUAAGUAUUGUGUGCGCUUGAGAGUGGAGCGCUAAUCCAAAGAACGUCUCAGUGGGGCGUUAAUAUAAACUACACCAAACCAAACGUUCACAAAAUGUAUGCAUGAUAUCAGACGUUGAUAUUAUUGCCGCCUCAUGUUUUUUUUCCAUCAAACUCACUUAAUACUCUCGUCUCUCCCUUGGAAUUAACACUAGGUUGGUGAUUUUGUGAGCGCCCCACGUCUGGCGAUAAUAAUACUUACGCCCCACAUGAAGCGUGGAUAAUACUUACGCCCCACUCAUGCGUUCACAGUAACGACGCCUGACCUCCAUACGUUCAUUAUAA